rnacentral:sRNA from 1 species
GAAAGUGAAUGCAGCUGGUUGGAGGUCACCAGUGCAGGGCUCUUGCCAUUGUGAUAUAAUGUGCAAAGUAAAAUCCUGGGUUAUAGAUCAAAAGAAACCUGUUCGCUUCUAUCAUGAUUGGAAUGACAAAGAGAUUGAAGUGUUGAAUAAACACUUAUUUUUGACUUCAAAACCAAUGGUCUACUUGGUUAAUCUUUCUGAAAAAGACUACAUUAGAAAGAAAAACAAAUGGUUGAUAAAAAUUAAAGAGUGGGUGGACAAGUAUGACCCAGGUGCUUUGGUCAUUCCUUUUAGUGGGGCCUUGGAACUCAAGUUGCAAGAAUUGAGUGCUGAGGAGAGACAGAAGUAUCUGGAAGCGAACAUGACACAAAGUGCUUUGCCAAAGAUCAUUAAGGCUGGGUUUGCAGCACUCCAACUAGAAUACUUUUUCACUGCAGGCCCAGAGGAAGUGCGUGCAUGGACCAUCAGGAAAGGGACUAAGGCUCCUCAGGCUGCAGGAAAGAUUCACACAGAUUUUGAAAAGGGAUUCAUUAUGGCUGAAGUAAUGAAAUAUGAAGAUUUUAAAGAGGAAGGUUCUGAAAAUGCAGUCAAGGCUGCUGGAAAGUACAGACAACAAGGCAGAAAUUAUAUUGUUGAAGAUGGAGAUAUUAUCUUCUUCAAAUUUAACACACCUCAACAACCAAAGAAGAAAUAAAAUUUAGUUAUUGCUCA